UACGUAGGGUGCAAGCGUUGUCCGGAAUUAUUGGGCGUAAAGAGCUCGUAGGCGGUUUGUUGCGUCGGCUGUGAAAUCCCGAGGCUCAACCUCGGGUCUGCAGUCGAUACGAGCAAACUAGAGUGUUGCAGGGGAGACUGGAAUUCCUGGUGUAGCGGUGAAAUGCGUAGAUACUGGGAGGAACACCGGUGGCGAAGGCGGGUCUCUGGGCCGAUACUGACGCUGAGGAGCGAAAGCCAGGGGAGCGAACGGG
rnacentral:rRNA from 1 species